AUUGAACGCUGGCGGCAUGCCUUACACAUGCGAGUCGAACGGCAGCACGGGUGCUUGCACCUGGUGGCGAGUGGCGAACGGGUGAGUAAUACAUCGGAACAUGUCCUGUAGUGGGGGAUAGCCCGGCGAAAGCCGGAUUAAUACCGCAUACGAUCUACGGAUGAAAGCGGGGGACCUUCGGGCCUCGCGCUAUAGGGUUGGCCGAUGGCUGAUUAGCUAGUUGGUGGGGUAAAGGCCUACCAAGGCGACGAUCAGUAGCUGGUCUGAGAGGACGAACAGCCACACUGGGACUGAGACACGGCCCAGACUCCUACGGGAGGCAGCAGUGGGGAAUUUUGGACAAUGGGCGCAAGCCUGAUCCAGCAAUACCGCGUGUGUGAAGAAGGCCUUCGGGUUGUAAAGCACUUUUGUUCGGAAAGAAAAGCUUCGGGUUAAUACGGUGGUGGGAUGACGGUACCGAAAGAAUAAGCACCGGCUAACUACGUG
rnacentral:rRNA from 1 species